rnacentral:rRNA from 1 species
AGAACGAACGCUGGCGGCAGGCCUCAAACAUGCAAGUCUAGGGGAUGUAGCAAUACAUCACCGGCGGACGGGUGCGUAACACGUGGGAAUAUACCUUUCGGUACGGAACAACUGCGGGAAACUGCAGCUAAUACCGUAUACGUCCUUACGGAGAAAGAUUUAUCGCCGAAGGAUUAGCCCGCGUUCGAUUAGCUAGUUGGUGAGGUAAUGGCUCACCAAGGCGACGAUCGAUAGCUGUUCUGAGAGGAAGAUCAGCCACACUGGGACUGAGACACGGCCCAGACUCCUACGGGAGGCAGCAGUUGGGAAUCUUGGACAAUGGGGGAAACCCUGAUCCAGCCAUGCCGCGUGAGUGAUGAAGGCCUUCGGGUUGUAAAGCUCGUUUUACCCGGGAAGAUAAUGACUGUACCGGAGAAUAAGCUCCGGCUAACUUCGCGCCAGCAGCCGC